GGGACUUCUACUGGCUGGGAGCUCACACAGGAACAGAUGCAAGAACUGAACAGGAUAUCCAUGCCUGUAAUUCCAUACCCGUACAAAAUGAUACGCCUGUUAAACAAGACUAGGAGAGAUAUGUCCAUUUAAAGUGAAAUUUAAUAGGCAAUCUUUUACAGUACCGUUAGAUAAUCAAACUUAAAACGGGACCGAAGUUGAUGUCAAACCAUUAUUAAACAGAAAUACAGACUUACAUCAAAUACAUUGGACUACUUUUUGUAUGUCAUGUUUGAUCCGUUGCGUUAUCUCGAGAUUGACUUGGAAUAUUAGGCAUUAUAAUUCGUAUUGGAAUUUAUUUUGGAAACUAAUAUGAAUAAAGACAAUAGAUUAACGGAUAUAACA